ensembl:misc_RNA Y_RNA Y RNA
GGCUGACUUGAAGGUAGUGAGUUAUCUCAACAGAUUGUUCAGUCAGUUAUAGAUCUAAGUCUUUACUCUCUCCUCAUAUCACUACUGCACUUGACUAUUUUUUU